CAGUAGCGUAUAUUAAAGUUGUUGCAGUUAAAAUGCUCGUAGUUGAAGUUCGGAUGCAGCAGAGCUUGGAAACGCUGUUAUGGUGCUUCCGUUGCUUUUGCUUGUCCACAGUGCGUUGCAAGUACGUAUGUGCUUGUGCGUGCAUUUUACUUUGAGAAACAUAGGGUGUUCCACGCAUGUUACGGCAUGAAUAUUCCAACAUGGGAUAAUCUGGUACGACUUCCAAUCUGCCAUUUUGGUUCGUAGGUUGGAAGUAAUGAUUAAUAGGGACUGUCGGGGGCAUUGGUAUUUGACUGUCAGAGGUGAAAUUCUUAGAUUCGUUGAGGACCAACCACUGCGAAAGCAUUUGUCAAGGAUGUCUCCAUUAA
rnacentral:rRNA from 1 species